AACGAACGCUGGCGGCAGGCUUAACACAUGCAAGUCGAGCGAGACCUUCGGGUCUAGCGGCGGACGGGUGAGUAACGCGUGGGAACGUGCCCUUCUCUAUGGAAUAGCCCCGGGAAACUGGGAGUAAUACCGUAUACGCCCUUUGGGGGAAAGAUUUAUCGGAGAAGGAUCGGCCCGCGUUGGAUUAGGUAGUUGGUGGGGUAAUGGCCCACCAAGCCGACGAUCCAUAGCUGGUUUGAGAGGAUGAUCAGCCACACUGGGACUGAGACACGGCCCAGACUCCUACGGGAGGCAGCAGUGGGGAAUCUUAGACAAUGGGGGCAACCCUGAUCGAGCCAUGCCGCGUGAGUGAUGAAGGCCUUAGGGUUGUAAAGCUCUUUCAGCUGGGAAGAUAAUGACGGUACCAGCAGAAGAAGCCCCGGCUAACUCCGUG
rnacentral:rRNA from 1 species